UGGGGAAUAUUGCACAAUGGGCGCAAGCCUGAUGCAGCCAUGCCGCGUGUGUGAAGAAGGCCUUCGGGUUGUAAAGCACUUUCAGCGGGGAGGAAGGCGUUAAGGUUAAUAACCUUGGCGAUUGACGUUACCCGCAGAAGAAGCACCGGCUAACUCCGUGCCAGCAGCCGCGGUAAUACGGAGGGUGCAAGCGUUAACCGGAAUUACUGGGCGUAAAGCGCACGCAGGCGGUCUGUCAAGUCGGAUGUGAAAUCCCCGGGCUCAACCUAGGAACUGCAUUCGAAACUGGCAGGCUAGAGUCUUGUAGAGGGGGGUAGAAUUCCAGGUGUAGCGGUGAAAUGCGUAGAGAUCUGGAGGAAUACCGGUGGCGAAGGCGGCCCCCUGGACAAAGACUGACGCUCAGGUGCGAAAGCGUGGGGAGCAAACAGG
rnacentral:rRNA from 1 species